GAUGAUGGAGGCAAUUGCGGGGGUGGUACAGUUGGGACCUCCCCCUCUGGCUCCAAAUCUCCAUCUAGCGCAUACUCACAUGAAUCACUCGAGGAAUCUGCAUCACCCUCACCAUGUGUCCCAACAUUCUCAACUGCUGUUUCACCACUCAAAUCAGUCAAUACGGAUGUUUCAACCCUGUCCACCUCAUUUUUCAAACCAACUACUUCCUUCUCCCAAUUCUUCUUAUUC
rnacentral:misc_RNA from 1 species